rnacentral:rRNA from 1 species
AGGAUUCCGGCAGUCGACGAUUCCUACGGGAGGCAGCAGUGGGGAAUCUUAGACAAUGGGGGAAACCCUGAUCUAGCCAUGCCGCGUGAGUGAUGAAGGCCUUAGGGUCGUAAAGCUCUUUCGCCAGGGAUGAUAAUGACAGUACCUGGUAAAGAAACCCCGGCUAACUCCGUGCCAGCAGCCGCGGUAAUACGGAGGGGGUUAGCGUUGUUCGGAAUUACUGGGCGUAAAGCGCGCGUAGGCGGAUUAGUCAGUCAGAGGUGAAAUCCCAGGGCUCAACCCUGGAACUGCCUUUGAUACUGCUAGUCUAGAGUUCGAGAGAGGUGAGUGGAAUUCCGAGUGUAGAGGUGAAAUUCGUAGAUAUUCGGAGGAACACCAGUGGCGAAGGCGGCUCACUGGCUCGAUACUGACGCUGAGGUGCGAAAGUGUGGGGAGCAAACAGGAUUAGAUACCCUGGUAGUCCACACCGUAAACGAUGAAUGCCAGUCGUCGGCAAGUAUACUUGUCGGUGACACACCUAACGGAUUAAGCAUUCCGCCUGGGGAGUACGGUCGCAAGAUUAAAACUCAAAUGAAUUGACGG